UUUUGUGUUUGUAGAUUUAUAAUACCCAAUUUCAUUAGAUUGAAUAAAAUUUGAUUUAAAAAAAAUAAAUGCAUAAAAGAUAGGUAUUUAAGUAAUUUUGAGAGGGAUUAAAAUAAAUAAAUAAAUAAUUUUCAUCUUUUCUUUAAUUAAAUUUAAUUCUUUCAAAAUUCAAUUUAAAAUUAAAAUUUAGAAAAUUCUACUUAAAUAAAAAUUAGAAAAAAAGAAAAACAAAAGAAGAAAAUAAAAAGAGAAUUAUCUACCUACACAUUUUAUCUACCUACACCACUCCAUUUCAUUCACACACCAAGGAUAAGCCUAACACGUUUU
rnacentral:lncRNA from 1 species